rnacentral:rRNA from 1 species
GACGAACGCUGGCGGCGUGCUUAACACAUGCAAGUCGAGCGAUGAAAGCCUUAUGAACUAUUCGUAGUGAUUGGGGCCGGAUUAGCGGCGGACGGGCGAGUAACGCGUGAGCAACCUGCCUUAAACAACGGGAUAGCCUCGGGAAACCGGGAUUAAUACCGUAUGAGACCCCGCCUUCACAUGAAGAAGAGGUUAAAGAUUUAUCGGUUUAAGAUGGGCUCGCGUCUGAUUAGCUAGUUGGUGAGAUAAAAGCCCACCAAGGCAACGAUCAGUAACCGGAUUGAGAGAGUGAACGGUCACAUUGGAACUGAGACACGGUCCAAACUCCUACGGGAGGCAGCAGUGGGGAAUAUUGCACAAUGGGGGAAACCCUGAUGCAGCGACGCCGCGUGAGCGAUGAAGGAAUUCGUUUCGUAAAGCUCUGUCCAAGGGGAAGAUAAUGACAGUACCCUUGGAGGAAGCCCCGGCUAAAUACGUGCCAGCCGCCGCAGUAA